rfam:Pelodiscus sinensis unplaced genomic scaffold scaffold1150, whole genome shotgun sequence.
AUAAAGGCUUUCAUUCAAAGCCACACAGAUUUCCUAACCAUUGUAU